rnacentral:rRNA from 1 species
GCAAUCGUUGUUUCCAAAGUCCUUUUUAAAUUAAUAAUUUUAAUGUUAAUGGGAUUAGGGGAUAAGGUGUAGAGGUGAGUAUGUUAAAUAAGAUACCCUAUAGUCUUCUUAGCUAGGAGAUAUAAAGUAAAGGAAAAUUUCUGCUGUAGGAUUCUAUUUAAUUUGAUUAGGUAGUUGAUAGGGUAACGGCCUACCAAGCCAACGAUCAAAAGUCAAGUUUGAAAGAACCUCUGGCCACAUUGGGGAUGAAAUCUCCCAAGUAGUAAUAACACUACCAGCAGUCGAGAAUAUUAGUCAAUGCUCGUAAGAGUGAACUAGCUAACUGAAAUCAUAGAAUUUCUUAAAUUCAUGAUGUCGUAAGGGAAAAUAAUGAUAAUACCUUACUAUGAGUGUCGUCCAAAUCUGGUGCCAGAAGACUCGGUAAGACCAGAGACGCAAACGUUAAUCAUCAUAAACAGGCGUAAAGGGUUUGUAGGCAGCUUUUAUAAGAUUAUAUUAUUUUGAAAAAAAUAGUGUAAUCUAAAUUGAAAGCUAGAAUCAAAAAGAGGUUAUAGUGUAUAACGCCUAGAGGAGGGCUGAUAUCCAUAGAUCCUAGGCAGAAUACUCAGGGCGAAGGCCACUCUCCACUAAUGAUUGACGCUGAGAAACGAAGGUUAGGGUAGGAAAUAGGAUUAGAUACCCCGGUACUUCCCUUUCUGUAAACGAUGAAUGGGUAGUCAUUAGUUAAAUUAAAUAACUAGAGGCGAAGUUAACACAAUAACCAUUCCGCCUUGUGAGUACUACUGCAAAGUAGAAAACAAAAAAAUUAGUCGGUCUCGAAGCAAACGGAGUGAAGCAUGUUAUUUAAUACGAUAAUCCGCCUUUUUCCUUCCAGAACUUGCAUACAAACUAUAAAUUUUCUGUCCUAGAAAAGGAUUAGGA